rnacentral:rRNA from 1 species
UACGAAGGGGGCUAGCGUUGUUCGGAAUUACUGGGCGUAAAGCGCACGUAGGCGGAUCGAUCAGUCAGGGGUGAAAUCCCAGGGCUCAACCCUGGAACUGCCUUUGAUACUGUCGAUCUGGAGUAUGGAAGAGGUGAGUGGAAUUCCGAGUGUAGAGGUGAAAUUCGUAGAUAUUCGGAGGAACACCAGUGGCGAAGGCGGAUCUCUGGGCCAUUACUGACGCUGAGGAGCGAAAGCGUGGGGAGCGAACAGG